rnacentral:rRNA from 1 species
UCCUACGGGGGGCAGCAGUGAGGAAUAUUGGUCAAUGGGCUUACGCCUGAACCAGCCAAGUCGCGUGAGGGAAGACUGCCCUAUGGGUUGUAAACCUCUUUUGUCAGGGAGCAACGCCGGCUACGUGUAGCCGGACUGAGAGUACCUGAAGAAAAAGCAUCGGCUAACUCCGUGCCAGCGGCCGCGGUAAUACGGAGGAUGCGAGCGUUAUUCGGAUUUAUUGGGUUUAAAGGGUGCGUAGGCGGACUGGAAAGUCAGCGGUAAAAUCGAGAGGCUCAACCUCUUUCCGCCGUUGAAACUGUCGG